rnacentral:rRNA from 1 species
UACGAAGGGGGCUAGCGUUGCUCGGAAUCACUGGGCGUAAAGGGUGCGUAGGCGGGUUUUUAAGUCAGAGGUGAAAUCCUGGAGCUCAACUCCAGAACUGCCCUUGAUACUGGGAAUCUUGAGUAUGGAAGAGGUGAGUGGAACUGCAAGUGUAGAGGUGAAAUUCGUAGAUAUUCGCAAGAACACCAGUGGCGAAGGCGGCUCACUGGUCCAUAACUGACGCUGAGGCACGAAAGCGUGGGGAGCAAACAGGG